GGGAAGGUGGCUCAGUGGUAGAGCGCUUGCCUUGCAUGCAUGAGACCCUGGGUUCAAUUCCUCAGCACCCCA
rnacentral:tRNA from 1 species